AAAUUGAAGAGUUUGAUCAUGGCUCAGAUUGAACGCUGGCGGCAGGCCUAACACAUGCAAGUCGAGCGGUAACACAAG
rnacentral:rRNA from 1 species